rnacentral:tRNA from 1 species
GCAGGCGUGGCGGAACGGUAUACGCAGCAGACUUAAAAUCUGCGGGGCGCAAGCCCGUGGGGGUUCAAGUCCCCCCGCCUGCACCA